CUGGACUGUAACUGACGCUGAGGCACGAAAGCGUGGGGAGCAAACAGGAUUAGAUACCCUGGUAGUCCACGCUGUAAACGAUGAGUACUAGGUGUCGGGGGUUACCCCCUUCGGUGCCGCAGCUAACGCAUUAAGUACUCCGCCUGGGAAGUACGCUCGCAAGAGUGAAACUAAAAGGAAUUGACGGGGACCCGCACAAGUAGCGGAGCAUGUGGUUUAAUUCGAAGCAACGCGAAGAACCUUACCUAAGCUUGACAUCCCAAUGACAUCUCCUUAAUCGGAGAGUUCCCUUCGGGGACAUUGGUGACAGGUGGUUCAUGGUUGUCGUCAGCUC
rnacentral:rRNA from 1 species